rnacentral:misc_RNA from 1 species
GAUGAAGAACGUAGCGAAAUGCGAUAAGUAAUGUGAAUUGCAGAAUUCAGUGAAUCAUCGAAUCUUUGAACGCACAUUGCGCCCGCCAGUAUUCUGGCGGGCAUGCCUGUUCGAGCGUCAUUUCAACCAUCAAGCCCCCGGCUUGUGUUGGGGACCUGCGGCUGCCGCAGGCCCUGAAAACCAGUGGCGGGCUCGCUAGUCACUCCGAGCGUAGUAAUACAUCUCGCUCAGGGCGUGCUGCGGGUUCCGGCCGUUAAAAGCCUUAUUUUACCCAAGGUUGACCUCGGAUCAGGUAGGAAGACCCGCUGAACUUAAGAAUAUCAAUAAGCGGAGGA